rnacentral:rRNA from 1 species
GUCUGGUGCCAGCAGCCGCGGUAAUUCCAGCUCCAAUAGCGUAUAUUAAAAUUGUUGCAGUUAAAAAGCUCGUAGUUGAAGUUCUGCUAAAAGUAACCGGUCUGCUUUGAAUAAAAGUGGUAUCUUGGUAUGUAUUUAGCAAUGAUGUCCUUUGAAGUGUUUUUUACUUUAUUGUAAUAAAGCAUAUUCAGGACUUUUACUUUGAGAAAAUUAGAGUGUUUCUAGCAGGCCAACGCUUUGAAUACUGCAGCAUGGAAUAAUAAGAUAGGAUUUUAGUUCUACAUUAUUGGUUUUAAGAGCUAAAUUAAUGAUUGAUAGGGACAGUUGGGGGCAUUUGUAUUUAACUGUCAGAGGUGAAAUUCUUAGAUUUGUUAAAGACAAACUACUGCGAAAGCAUUUGCCAAAGAUGUUUUCAUUAAUCAAGAACGAAAGUUAGGGGAUCGAAGACGAUCAGAUACCGU